CCUAAUUUCAGGGGUUGUCCAUUUUCAGAUAAUUGACAGCCUUCCUUUGAUUCCUAGUGCAUUAGAAUUUAUUGGGAUUUUAUUUUCUUGGUGGUUCAUAUACCGCUAUCUUCUAUUAAAGCCUGACCGUGAAGAGCUGUUGACGAAGAUCAAAGAUUCAAUCUCUGAAGUUGUUGGCGAGUAACUUCAGUUUCAGUUGAUUCUGAUAAUUGUGUCUUAAUGUAUGUGUUUUCCCUGUCAAUUGUGUGUGUGUGUGUGUGUGUGUGUGUGUGAGAGAGAGAGAGAGAGAGAGAGUUGAUUUGCAACAGCAACUGGCAUUUGUAUGCAAUUCAACAUAUGAAGUUCAGGUUUUGACUAUUUAUAGUUACAUGACCAUCCAUGCUCUGAGAUGGUUGAUGCA